UUUGAUCCGGAGAUUUCCGAAUGGGGAAACCCACCGAAAGGUAUCGUAUUCUGAAUACAUAGGGAUACGAGGCGAACCGGGUGAACUGAAACAUCUCAGUAGCUCGAGGAAAAGACAUCAACCGAGAUUCCGAAAGUAGUGGCGAGCGAAAUCGGAGUAGCCCUCGCGUUUUAGCAGUUUGUAUAUCAGAACGGAAUGGAAAGUCCGGCCACAGCGGGUGAUAGCCCCGUAUGAGAAAUGCAGAUUGUGGAACUAGGCGCGAAUAGAGUAGGGCGGGACACGUGAAAUCCUGUCUGAAC
rnacentral:rRNA from 1 species